rnacentral:rRNA from 1 species
GACAGAGGGUGCAAACGUUGUUCGGAAUUACUGGGCGUAAAGCGCGUGUAGGCGGCCCUGCAAGUCGGAUGUGAAAUCCCACGGCUCAACCGUGGAAGUGCAUUCGAAACUGCAGGGCUAGAGUCCUGGAGAGGAAGGUGGAAUGCUUGGUGUAGAGGUGAAAUUCGUAGAUAUCAAGCGGAACACCGGUGGCGAAGGCGGCCUUCUGGACAGUGACUGACGCUGAGACGGCGAAAGCGUGGGGAGCAAAC